AGAACAAUUCGAAACUAAUUCUCGAACCAUAAAUACAAAGAAACCCGACCCGAGAACCAAAAGUAGGAAUCUCUCUCCGCUUCUGGUCAGUUUGCCCUAACCCCAUCUCAGGUAAUUCCCAAUUUCGAACCUAAUUUCAAAUCUGAAGACGGGCGAACUGGGUCUCCCAAAUAGAAAAACCCUGGUCCUUGUUUUACUACUGCCCUCUCUAAAACCUCGCUCCUUCCGAUAUCCCUCAAGGUAGUACAGCGACGUUGUUCGUUUCGAAGCUCUUUUUCUUUCGAAGCCCAGAGGAUUCUCUCAUUCCGUGGUUCGCUCUUUCUUCUGCACUGUGAUUCCAGGUCAUCAAUCAGAGCUUUUCGUGGUUUCUGUACAUUUUUGCGGGGAGAAGAAAGAACGGAGAACGAGCAGAGGGGAAGAGCCGAGGACCAUACCUGGACAUCCCGUCGGAACAAAGGAAAGAUGCAGAAGCUGCCUACGCCGGAGUGAACGGCUGCCGACGGUGUUGAGAAGGCUGAUGUGCCGCCGCCGACAAUCCACCGAAUGAGACCACUUUCGAUGGGCUUUUAGUGGUGGUCACACUUUGACUAAUCAAAUUAGUGGCAGCCUUGAACGGAUUAGGAAGUGAAGGGAAUGAACUUGACCGAUUUUGCGAAUCAAAAUACUCUUGUGAAAAAUUGAAGUUUGGAUAUCAAUUCAAGGUGUGGUUUAAGGUCUCUUUCCAAUCAGAGUUUUCUGAAUCUGAAACUGUGGUUGGAAUGGAGUCUCUACUAGGUUCGACCAAGCAUCCAGACAUGAUAACGAAGGAUCACAUGGCCAAAAACUAGUUCCAUGGUUAAACUGGGAAGAAUGGAACUCUGUGAGACAGUCUCUCUUCUCUUCUUCUCAGGACUCUGUUGGCUUUGCUCUUCGAAGAGUAUCUGCAUGGCGAAGCAGAGGAUGUCUUCCAGUUGUGGUUGAAGUUACUGCUUCAAUCAUUGAAAUUCAGCAACAAGACCCCUUUUUCAGGUAUACGCGUGUGGUAUAUGUCCAUAUAGGCUGGUGCUCUUGAUUAAUUAGAAAAACCUAUAAGACUAACAGUGCUUGUAAUCUGGCAUAUUCUAGUUCCCUUACCACAUUCCUGUACUUUCUAAUAUUAACUGCUUAUUAGUCAGGUUUUAUGCCAUGUGUGACUGUGUGAUAACUUUGAAAAAUUACAAGCUCUCCUAGUUCAAUGAUAUUGAAUAAAAUAAUAGAUUUGGAUCCCCAUUUGCGGCCAGAGCACUCAAGACCCAUAGCCAAGCCUCUGUCCAUGGCAAGGAAGCCUAUCCUUCAUUAUCUAUCAAAUAAAAGAUUUCAUCCAUGGGGCAUAGCUCACUUUUCCAAAUUAUUUUUGGGCUUUGCUCUUGUUGUUAGACCCAUUUGUGCCUACAUUAUUUCUUUCACAUCUAAAAUAUCAAAUCAACCACCUAGUUGCUUUUUCUGUGAAAUAAUCCUAGUAUUUGAACCCUUCAGAUUCUAUUACUCACCUUAUUUUGAGGAUUGAAUAAUUCAAAGAUUCUGGUCAGUCCACAGAAGAUCUUUUGUCUUAGCUCAAGAAAUGUUUUGUCUAGAAACCAUGUAUUGGAUAAAAGAAUUAUCUUCCAUUAUCUGGGCACCAUUGAAUCCCUCCUUUAUCACCUUAUGGACAUUUAGAAUAUUUUGUUUUUAUUUUGUGAUAAGAAACAAAAAUGUAUUAAACAUGAGUAAAAAUAACAUAGAAAGAUGAGGAGUCCUCCCUAUAGUUACAAAAAAAUUGAUAAAAAAUAUGGCUAAACCCUUCCACUACACAAUGAGACUUAUCCAAAUGGUUUAGUCUAAAAGAAAUGCAAUAGCAUCUCCUUAAACUCAAUCAAAACUCCUCUUGUU